GCUUAGGGCUGGUGCGGCGGGGCCGGGGCCGGGAAGGGCCGGGCCGGGGCUCCCCCGCCGCCGCCCAUGUGGCUGCAGCAGCGGCUGAAGGGGCUGCCGGGGCUGCUGUCCAGCAGCUGGGCGCGGCGCCUGCUACUGCUGCUGGUGCUGCUGCUCGUCGCCUACUGGUACCUGGGCGCGGCGCGGGCGCGGGGCGCGGGGCGCGGGGCCGAGCCCCGGGGACCCGCCGCCCUCUGCGUUCAGGCGGCCGCGGGCGCCUGGCGGGCGCAGACCCAGCGCGGCGAUGCGCUGCCGCUGCCUGAGGAGGCGGCCGGGGCCGGCGGGCCCCCGGGGCUGGCGGUGGCGGGCAACGGGUUCCUGCUGCUGGACGUGUCCGCCGGGCGCCUCUGGGUGCGGCCCGCGGGGGCCGCCGCGGGCCCGGCGCUCGCCACCGAGUAUCCGGCGCUGGUGCGGCUGAGGGCGCUGGGCGGGCGCGGCGAGGCGCGGGCGGCGCUGGCGGCGCUGCGGGACGGGGCCGUGCGGAGGGUGCGCUGCGUCCAGAUGGGGCCCGGGGCCGGCGCCGGGGACUGCGUGACGCUGCGGGAGGAGGUGGUGGCCCACCGGAGCCGGCCGCAUCUCUACCUGCAGCGCAUCCGCAUCGCCAACCCCACCGAGCGCGUGGCCGCCUUCGAGGCCUCGGCUCCCGCCGCCGCGGCCCCGCUGGGCGGGCGCUUCGCCACCAGCCUGGAGAAGGUGGAGGAGCGGCAGUUCCUGCUCUCCUCCGGCCGCCUGCUGCUGGCCGGCAGCCCCAAGGUGGUGCUGGUGGUGGUAGCUGCCAAGAAACUGGUGAGCCGGGUGCAGGUCGCGCCCAAGUCGCACUUUGACGAGACCGUGCUGUCCGUGGUGUACACCUCGGAGCCCAUCGAGGUGUCCAGGCUGGAGGAGACCUUCAGCAAGCUGAGGGAGGCAGCCAAGAAAGAGAUGCUGGAGGUGAUGAAGAUGGGGGUGGAAGAUCUUUUCCAGGAGCACCAGCAGACCUGGUCUGACUUGUUCAUUUCAGGGAUUGAAAUGAGAAAGAUCACAGAUGCACAUACCCCAUCCAGUGAGACUGUCAACAUGACCCUCUACUACGUGCUGUCAACUGUGCCAGCCCCGCUGCUGGACCCGCUCAUUGCUGCUGAGGACAGGGAGAAGAUUGAAGCCAGCCUGAACUACGCUGACCACUGCUUCAGCGGCCACGCCACCAUGCACGCCGAGAACCUGUGGCCACCAAAGCUGACCAGCGUCACCCAGAUCCUGCAGCUCUCAGACCUGUGGAAGCUGACUCUCCAAAAACGGGGGUGCAAGGGUCUUGUGACAGCUGGAGUGCACGGACUCAUGCAGGGAAUGGUGCUUAGUUUUGGGGGUCUGCAGUUCACAGAAAACCAUCUUCAGUUUCAGGCUGACCCUGACGUACUUCAUAACAGCUAUUCCUUACGUGGGAUCCAUUACAAUAAGGACUUGAUCAGUUUAGCUGUUCUCCUGGAUGCUGAAGGAAAGCCCUUCUUGCAUGUGUCUGUGAAAUUCCAGGACAAGCCUGUCAGACUGUAUGCGUGUGAGGCAGGCUGUAUGAACGAGCCUGUGGAGCUGACCUCAGAGGCACGAGGUCACACGUUCCCCGUCAUGGUGACUCAACCCAUCACACCACUGCUUUAUAUAUCAACAGAUUUGGUCCACUUGCAGGACCUGAGACACACACUCCACCUAAAAGCUAUUCUGGCUCAUGAGGAACACAUGGCCAAGCAAUACCCAGGCUUACCCUUCCUGUUCUGGUUCAGUGUGGCCUCCUUAAUUACUUUGUUUCAUUUGUUUCUGUUCAAACUCAUCUACAACGAGUAUUGUGGGCCAGGAGCCAAGCCCCUCUUCAGGAGUAAGGUAUAAGGCUGCUGCUUUUGGCUGCUGUCCACUGAGUGUUGUCAGCCUGAUGUUGUGUCAGCGGUGCCUGGGCAGGCUGUCUCUUAGACUGUGAGAAUUUUCAGUCUCUCUUGAAACAAGUGAUCUGUGACCUCUUCUUGCAAGAAGGAGGAUUAGGGCAGGGAUUGGAGCAGUAGGGCUCACAAAAGAUAAACUUAUUGUCUGUCCCUAGACAUUUGUGAGGCUGCAGGUGGAGGCAGACACAGCUUUUUGUCCUUUUUUCACACAUCAGUGUAGGACAUUGCUUGUUUCUAGGCCAGCAGUUGCAGUUGUCAUGAGAUGAUGCUUCUUGUUUUUCAGUACCAGAAAGCAUGUGAGAGAGCUGCUGUACUUGUCUGAACUGCUGUGUGGAGACCUGCACACCUGCCUGCCUGCUCUGAACGUGUGACGUGUCACACAGGAGCACCCCGAGGCAGGCUGCUGUUCUGAGGUGGCUGUCCCCGACUGUGCCCGCUGAAGUGCCCAGAGGCUUCACAGCCACAGCGCAGGGCUGACCUAGCACCUCAUCCUUCUGGGCACUGCCGAGCCAACAACUCUGCUGCCUUGUCUUAGUUGGACCUACUUCAAAUGAAGGUGAUGCAGAACUUGAUUCCAGAAACAGGGAAGAAGUGGAAUCCUGCUGAAGCUCAGAAUCUGUAGCAGUAAGCAAGAUAGAUGGUCUUGAAAUAACACCGUGUUCCAUUAAUUGAAUGGGAACAUCCCCGUGUCCAAGUGAACUUAGUCCUGCUUUCAGCCUCCAUUUGCACAAGACACCUGGCAAUAUUGCAGCUGAGAACAAGGAACAUUUGAAAGCAACAAUCCUUUUGUGCCUUGCUAUUACAGGAAUCUGAGACUUGGAAGGUGUGGUGACUCAAUUGUUUAUCCCAGAAGCUUGUGUAACAGAUGUUUCCUUUCCCUGUAAGCUGUUCAGUUCCCUAGGAGUAACCCAUUUGGUGAAAGUACUUGAAGAUAUACUAAGACCUUUGAUAUUUUGAUCAGGUGUUUUUUUUUGGUUUGGUUUUGUUUUGUUUUUUUUUUUAAUUCUACAGAAAAAUAAAGGAUGAUGAUUCCCUUCUGAGAGUUAACUAGAAAACUUUAGUGUAACUUCCUUUCUGGUAUACAGUAAUUUAUUGCUUGGGGAGAGGGGGGCUAUGUUAAUUUUUCCUCCACUUCAGUAACAGUCAAUAUCUAGCAAUCUUAAUUGUUGAUAAGUUCUCGUAACAGGUUUUUCAGCCUUUAUGACUGUAGAGUGCAAAAUCAAUUUAAUGAACUUGUUUUCUGGAUAUGCACUUGGAAAUGCUGAUCUACACGUUUCCUAUUCUAAGCCUAUUGAGACUUUGUGCAUUGAUUUGUUUUGGCUAUGGGGGAAGACAUCCCACUUUCUAGUGACUUACAGGUUGUUUGGGUUUAAAAUACCAAAGCUGUUGUUUCUAAAUAAAUAUCUUUCAGUCUAAUCUGA